ACAAGAUCCAAAUCAAUGUCCUUCCGGGAGGAUUCCUUAAAAUCUUGUUUUCUCUCGUCUUCGGAAGAAGCCCGACAUUUCUUAAAGGAAAUGGAGCUCUUCAUAAGGUUCAUCUCAAAGAUCUCUCUUUGCAUAAUGUGUGUGUGGACCUGCCUACAGAUAUAUUGGGUGGAAGCCCUAGGAGCCUCAAGCAAGUCUGAAGAUUGGCCCUGAGAACCACUGUUCUCAUUAUCAGCAAGGAUUUUAUCCAGAGACCUCUAGGAAUACAUUCACUAAAAUGCGACUGUGGUCCUGUGGUUGUAUGAACUCUGGCUCUUCUCGUGGAUUACAUUUCACUGGAGUCAGGUGUUUUCUGUAAACAUCAUUAAACCACAAGACCAACUGCAUUGAACAUUUUUUGCACUACAUUGUUUUAUUUCUUGCUCGUCUUUUCCUUGCAGAGCUGGGGCUGGGGUGA
rnacentral:lncRNA from 1 species